UACGUAGGGUGCAAGCGUUAAUCGGAAUUACUGGGCGUAAAGCGUGCGCAGGCGGCUUUGCAAGACAGAUGUGAAAUCCCCGGGCUCAACCUGGGAAUUGCAUUCGAGACUGAAUAGCUAGGGUACGGUAGAGGGAAGUGGAAUUUCCGGUGUAGCGGUGAAAUGCGUAGAUAUCGGAAGGAACAUCAGUGGCGAAAGCGACUUCCUGGACCAGUACCGACGUUCAGGCACGAAAGCGUGGGGAGCAAACAGG
rnacentral:rRNA from 1 species